AUUGAACGCUGGCGGAAUGCUUUACACAUGCAAGUCGAGCGGCAGCGCGGCCUUCGGGCUGGCGGCGAGCGGCGAACGGGUGAGUAAUGCAUCGGAACAUGCCCAGUCGUGGGGGAUAACACUUCGAAAGAAGUGCUAAUACCGCAUACGUCCUGAGGGGGAAAGCGGGGGAUCCCAAUACCUCGCGCGAUUGGAGUGGCCGAUGUCAGAUUAGCUAGUUGGUGGGGUAAAGGCCUACCAAGGCGACGAUCUGUAGCUGGUCUGAGAGGAUGAUCAGCCACACUGGGACUGAGACACGGCCCAGACUCCUACGGGAGGCAGCAGUGGGGAAUUUUGGACAAUGGGGGCAACCCUGAUCCAGCCAUGCCGCGUGAGUGAAGAAGGCCUUCGGGUUGUAAAGCUCUUUCGGCAGGAAAGAAACGGUGGGCUAUAACAUAGUCCGCUAAUGACGGUACCUGAAGAAGAAGCACCGGCUAACUACGUG
rnacentral:rRNA from 1 species